CAUGACACAGCAACAUUCACAACUUAAUAACUCAGAAUAACAUCCCUUCUGCCCUAAAGAAAUAAUCUGACAAAAUUAAAACAAGACUUUAUCCAGAGACUGUCCAAUUCAACAGUAACUUUCCACUCAACUGAAGAGGCUUUGGAUAAAGCCUUCAUGUGGAAAUCCAACAAAUUGAAGCAACACAAUAAAUGCUUGCUAUGAAUUCGGGGCUGUGGUCUUUAUUAUUUUGCAUUCAUUACUAAGCUAAGUAUUAUAUGCUUGCAUGGGAAUUUACAGGACUACAAAACAGGACAAAAUACUGUGGCACAUAAGGGCAGCUGGAUCAACCAGGAGGCCUUGAGCCAUCAGCCAGCCAGUAGGCGCUGAGCCGCGUUUGCACAAUGCCUUCCUUGACGAUGGCUUCCCCUCCCAUGCUGCUGCCUCCAGCAUGCUCUGCCUACCUCCGCCAUCCGCGACAACAUGUUUCACCACCAUCUGAAACGGAUCACAUGAGAGGAACUAGCAACAUCAGUUUGUGAUCUGGUGCUAUCUGAUCGAGUUCACCCUAGCUACCAGAUUCGUGUUUGAAGAUCUUCUGAAACCAAUUAAAGGGUGUUCUCCACCUGCUUCAUAUCAACUCUUUCGUUGCUGGUACCUUUUGUGAAUAAAUGUUUCACCAAAGUGGAGAGAACUUCCA
rnacentral:lncRNA from 1 species